ACUGGAAGGCCAGGAAGGCUGAGUCUGAUGAAGCGGGACUUGGUGGAUACACUCCUCCUAGACAAACGGGUGGAGAGAACAGCUUUUACUGGAGAAAACCCCGGGAUGACUUACAGCCCAACAUCU